CAUGCAAGUCGGACGGUAGCACAGAGGAGCUUGCUCUUGGGUGACGAGUGGCGGACGGGUGAGUAAUGUCUGGGGAUCUGCCCGAUAGUAGGGGGAUAACCACUGGAAACGGUGGCUAAUACCGCAUAACGUCGCAAGACCAAAGAGGGGGACCUUCGGGCCUCUCACUAUCGGAUGAACCCAGAUGGGAUUAGCUAGUAGGCGGGGUAAUGGCCCACCUAGGCGACGAUCCCUANCUGGUCUGANAGGAUGACCAGCCACACUGGAACUGAGACACGGUCCAGACUCCUACGGGAGGCAGCAGUGGGGAAUAUUGCACAAUGGGCGCAAGCCUGAUGCAGCCAUGCCGCGUGUAUGAAGAAGGCCUUCGGGUUGUAAAGUACUUUCAGCGGGGAGGAAGGCGACGGGGUUAAUAACUCUGUCGAUUGACGUUACCCGCAG
rnacentral:rRNA from 1 species